UGCCAGCCGCCGCGGUAAUACGGAGGAUGCAAGCGUUAUCCGGAUUUAUUGGGUUUAAAGGGUGCGUAGGCGGAAUAUUAAGUCAGUAGUGAAAUCCUGCAGCUCAACUGUAGAACUGCUAUUGAUACUGGUAUUCUUGAAUUUAGUUGAGGUGGGCGGAACGUGUAAUGUAGCGGUGAAAUGCUUAGAUAUUACACAGAACACCGAUUGCGAAGGCAGCUCACUAAACUAACAUUGACGCUGAGGCACGAAAGCGUGGGGAGCGAACAGGAUUAGAUA
rnacentral:rRNA from 1 species